ACAUGGGUGUAUGUGCACGUGUGCCUGAUUUCAUGUGAUUGCAGAUGCAGGGGCGCACUGAAGGGUACGGUUACACGUGCGUGUGAUUUUGUGUGCAAUGUGUGCCUGUGCCUCUGCAGGCUGCCGGUGACCAGCACAUCGAGCCACGGCUGGGGUACAGCCGUGCGAUCGGCUUGACUGCACAAAUACAAACAGCAAAUUGUGCAGCAGGCUUUCCACCGCGGGGCCAAACAAACACGAUGAGACAGAAAAUGGCCAAAGGGAUUUCUCUGAAAUAUCGGCUGACAAAGGAUCCUUUUAUUUGGCUGCCCAGGCCUCAGAAUUACCAAGAGAGUCAGCACUUCGGCUCAGAAGGGCAGGUUAAUGUUUAAUACAACGCAGAGCCCACAGGCUUCAAAUAGGAAAAGGAUGAGUACAACCAGCAAACUCAUGGGGGAUCUCCUUUGCUACUGCUGCCCACAAGCAGGAUGCUCAGCUGGAGAAGCCACUUCAACCUUUAGACCUCAUCCAACACGUCACACAUCUUCUCAAAUGUUGCAGAACCAAAAUGUUCAGGUGGUUAUUUGCCCUAAAAUACUAGUAAGAAUUCUUAAUUUCCCUUUUUAUCAUUACUUACCAUAAGAAGUGCUACCCAACAACAAAACCCAAGAUUUUCAAGUGCCAUCAUGUUGGAUUUUCCAGUUUGAGGAACAGUAAAAGAGGUCAGUCAUCAUUACAGCUGUGUCCUUAUUCAAAGCAGAACACUUUAUACAGUUGUACAGUGCAUUUUGGCCUCAACUUCAGCCAGCAUUCAGUAUGGGAGAGCUUGGGGCUCUUCUGGUCUGGGCAAAGGGCCAGAAAGUGAUUCUGAACAGAAAAAGCAAGCAAAGUCCAUUCUAAUUUCUGAGCAUGCCAGGUGAAAUAUAAAAGUAAGUCAAUUAAAAUACAAAGCUCUGAUUCAGUUUUAAAGUAUCCGUUCCACUGUGACAUUAGCAAUUAGUUACAGUAAACCAGGCAAGAGAACUUAUCUUUAUUUUGGUUGUGUUCUUCUCAGAAGGACAAUCCCUGCCUCAGCCAGCUGCCCACAUGCAGCACAGCUCAUACAAAGGAUCACGUGUGAGCUGGGAUCGUGGAGUGGGUCACAGCAGAAGUCCAUCUCCCCCCAGUUCAUAGGAGGUGCCAGAGCCUUGUUCUGAGCUGCUGUGAAGCAGUCUGCUCCCAAAUUCAUCCUCUGAUCAGAGCUGGCCGCAGAUCCCUUCUCACAGUUCCCAGGCAUGCUGCACCCUUCGGCCACCAUCCAGCUUUUUGUGGCUGAGUCUCCUCCAGCUCUUCCUCUCCAAAACCAUGUUAAAGUCUUUUAAAGGACCCCGAGCAUCACUGAGAGCAAAAGAAAGGGAAAGCUGACCAUUCCCCUCCUCCUUCCCUGGCUACCCCAGCCAGCGGCACUGCCAACUCCCAACACAUCCUGACCAUAUAUUUAGUCUGCAGCAAUUUGCUUGGCAUUGUCUCACGCGGGUUCCAAGCGCACGGAUUACACAUCCAGCAAGGCAUCCAGCAGCCUCACCAAGGGCCUGUCAUUUCAGCGAUUCAGCUCAUCACGAUGCUGCUGCCAGAGGCUGAGACACUGCCUGGUCCAGGGCACAGCUAUGAGACAGAGGAGGCAAAUGGCAAGUCAGGGAGACCACCCCAAAUCCACAUCUGACAGUGUACAGAGCAGGGCGAGAGAUGCAUAACCCUUGCUCACAUGGGCACUGCCCCAAGUCCUCUCUCCAGUUUGGGGUAGAAAUUGGCCAGAACUCAGCAGCAGAGCCGCCAGUGUCCCUAGCCCGAGACCUACAUCCCCAAACCAGCACGCUGCAGGUGAGACUAGCCUGGGGAAAGCGAGAGCUGAUCUGCAGGAACAGGAUAUGCUGAUCCUGAAGACAGCUCUUCUCUCAACACUGCUCCAUAUGCAAUCAGAACCGUAAUCCCUGCCUGGGGCUGAAAGCUUCUCCUCUGUACUUCCCAAGCACUUAAAGGCAGCGCAGUCAGCAAUGGGCACCCAGGCAUUUGUGCGCCACAAAUGAGGCGCACGCACAGAAGGAAAGGCCACAGCCCCCGGAGACUCAGCAACCGCUUGCACCUCUGGAAAUAGAGGAGGGAAGGAGUCGUCAGGAGAGAAACCCUGGAAAAAAA